UCAAAAACCCCCAAAUCCUAAGGAAAACCUACUACUGUCGCCGCUCCCCUGCAACCCCCAAUAGGUUUUCACUCUCUCGGUCGCGGCUUCCCUGCAACUGUCGCCGCUCCCCUGCAACGGUCGCCGCUUCCCUGCAACAGUCGCAGCUUCCCUGCAACGGUCUCUCCUCUCGAACGUGGAUAGAUACCACCACCUCCCGAAAUCAAAGGGGGAACGAACUCUGCAUCACAUCAGCGGUUUCUAAGUUCUUCCUCCCUCUCCGAUUAUUGUAAAAUCCGUACCUUUUUUCCCAACCUUCUUCAAUCUGUAAAUCUCUUAUGGGUUUUAAGGUUUUAAUUGUUUGAUUUGGCGAAUCACUUAAUUCCUUAUUUUGCAUGUGUUUUGGCAUCUGUCAUUGAUUUUUGUUUAUAGAUUUAUUUUGCGAUUUCGAUCUGGUUAUGUCGUUUCUUUGAACAUGGAUUUUGGAUCCUUCUCUAAAUGGGGAUUUUGAAUUUCUUUCUCUGAUCGAAUUGGUGGGCAGCCGGUAAGGUGAGGGUUAGGUGUAGGGUUUGGGGUUGGAUUCGUCGCGAUGGUUGGGGGAAAAUGACAACUUGUUACCCAUGGAAGAAGGAAAGGAGAAAAAAAAAGCACCUUGUUAAGGUUUGGUUUAGGGAUUCACAGAUAGAUCGAUAAAUCUUGGUGCUGGGAGUUUCAGUUUUGGUCGGAGUCAAAUUUGAUCUCGCAAAGGAGAUUUUCUUAGAAACGAAAACAGGUUUUAGGGGGUUUUCCGUCUCUUCCCCCACCCCCCGGCCCCCGCUCGGAUGAGGUCGGUGGUUUUCUGAUAGUACCAGGUGUUGGGUAAGGCCGUAAGGGUGAUGAUGGACUCUGAAGUUGUUUUUUUUUUUUCUAAAAUAAGCUACAAUAAUCAGCAUAUUUUUCAGAAUUUGUUUCUGUUUUUAAUUGACGUUAUAUUAAAUUCUUUUGAACGGAGCUGCUGAUUUCAUUCCACUCCACUAAUCGGAUUGCAACUUGUCUUUCACUUUCAAUUUGGCUUAUAGACUAGAUUGAGUCUGUACACAAGGGGUCAGGGUUUUUGUUUUUAAGUUUGCUUUUUCUAUUGUUGUUGAAUAAUGUGUACAUGACCAUCAUCUUUAUUCCGCCGUAUAAGUGCAGGUUUUAGGACUCAUUGGGGACUUUGUGGAUCGUGAGAUAGUGGAUUUCUCCAACAAGAUUUUAAUCUUUUCACAUAAACAAGCUGAUUAGUGUCAUAAGGAUUCAGAAGCUACAAGUAAGGCAAUAAGAUUCAAGAAUGAGCUAAGGAUACAAGUAAGGCAAUAAGAUUCAUCAGGGCAAUCAACGUGUACAAGGAAGACAGAUGAAUGAGCUAAGGAUACAAAUUGCAAAUCAGAUGGCAGUAGAUAAGGGUUACCCCCUGAUUUGAUUGUUUAUGUAAUAAAAUUUCAAGACACCUAUUUGCAGCUAUGAUUUUUAUUUUGUAA